rnacentral:rRNA from 2 species
AGCCAUGCAUGUCUAAGUAUAAGCAAUUAUACAGCGAAACUGCGAAUGGCUCAUUAUAUAAGUUAUCGUUUAUUUGAUAGUACCUUACUACUUGGAUAACCGUGGUAAUUCUAGAGCUAAUACAUGCUAAAAAUCCCGACUUCGGAAGGGAUGUAUUUAUUAGAUUAAAAACCAAUGCCCUCUGGGCUCCUUGGUGAUUCAUAAUAACUUUUCGAAUCGCAUGGCCUUGCGCCGGCGAUGGUUCAUUCAAAUUUCUUCCCUAUCAACUUUCGAUGUUUGGGUAUUGGCCAAACAUGGUCGCAACGGGUAACGGAGGGUUAGGGCUCGACCCCGGAGAAGGAGCCUGAGAAACGGCUACUACAUCCAAGGAAGGCAGCAGGCGCGCAAAUUACCCAAUCCCGAUUCGGGGAGGUAGUGACAAUAAAUACUGAUACAGGGCUCUUUUGGGUCUUGUAAUUGGAAUGAGUACAAUUUAAAUCUCUUAACGAGGAACAAUUGGAGGGCAAGUCUGGUGCCAGCAGCCGCGGUAAUUCCAGCUCCAAUAGCGUAUAUUAAAGUUGUUGUGGUUAAAAAGCUCGUAGUUGAACCUUGGGCCUGGCUGGCCGGUCCGCCUCACCGCGUGUACUGGUCCGGCCGGGCCUUUCCCUCUGUGGAACCUCAUGCCCUUCACUGGGUGUGGCGGGGAAACAGGACUUUUACUUUGAAAAAAUUAGAGUGCUCCAGGCAGGCCUAUGCUCGAAUACAUUAGCAUGGAAUAAUGAAAUAGGACGUGUGGUUCUAUUUUGUUGGUUUCUAGGACCGCCGUAAUGAUUAAUAGGGACAGUCGGGGGCAUCAGUAUUCAAUUGUCAGAGGUGAAAUUCUUGGAUUUAUUGAAGACUAACUACUGCGAAAGCAUUUGCCAAGGAUGUUUUCAUUAAUCAGGAACGAAAGUUAGGGGAUCGAAGACGAUCAGAUACCGUCGUAGUCUUAACCAUAAACUAUGCCGACUAGGGAUCGGACGAUGUUAUUUUUUGACGCGUUCGGCACCUUACGAGAAAUCA